AUUGAACGCUGGCGGCAGGCCUAACACAUGCAAGUCGAGCGGAGCGGCGGAAGGGUGAGUAAUGCCUAGGAAACUGCCUGGAAGUGGGGGAUAACGUCCGGAAACGGGUGCUAAUACCGCAUACUAUCAGAUGAGCCUAGGUCGGGUUAGCUAGUUGGUGGGGUAAUGGCCUACCAAGGCGACGAUCCGUAAGUGGUCUGAGAGGCUGAUCAGUCACACUGGAACGUAGGCACGGUCCAGACUCCUACGUGAGGAAGCAGUUGGGAAUUGUGGACAAUGGGCGAAAGCCUGAUCCAGCCAUGCCGCGUGUGUGAGGAAGGUCUUCGGAUUUUAAAGCUCUUUAAGUUGUGAGGCGUUACCAACAGAAUAAGCACCGGCUAACUUCGUGCCAGCAGCCGCGGUAAUUC
rnacentral:rRNA from 1 species